rnacentral:rRNA from 1 species
ACUCAAAUGAAUAGACGGGGGCCCGCACAAGCGGUGGAGCAUGUGGUUCAAUUCGAAGCAACGCGCAGAACCUUACCAGCCCUUGACAUGGCAGGACGGUUUCCAGAGAUGGAUUCCUUCUCGCAAGAGACUUGCACACAGGUGCUGCAUGGCUGUCGUCAGCUCGUGUCGUGAGAUGUUGGGUUAAGUCCCGCAACGAGCGCAACCCUCGCCCUUAGUUGCCAUCAUUUAGUUGGGCACUCUAGGGGGACUGCCGGUGAUAAGCCGCGAGGAAGGUGGGGAUGACGUCAAGUCCUCAUGGCCCUUACGGGCUGGGCUACACACGUGCUACAAUGGCGGUGACAAUGGGACGCGACGGGGCAACCCUGAGCAAAUCUCAAAAAGCCGUCUCAGUUCGGAUUGUGCUCUGCAACUCGGGCACAUGAAGUCGGAAUCGCUAGUAAUCGCAGAUCAGCACGCUGCGGUGAAUACGUUCCCGGGCCUUGCACACACCGCCCGU